rnacentral:rRNA from 1 species
AUUGAACGCUGGCGGCAGGCCUAACACAUGCAAGUCGCGCGGAGCGGCGGACGGGUGAGUAAUGCCUAGGAAUCUGACUGGUAGUGGGGGAUAACGUCCGGAAACGGGCGCUAAUACCGCAUACUAUCAGAUGAGCCUAGGUCGGGUUAGCUGGUUAGUGGGGUAAAGGACUACCAAAGCGACGAUCCGUAACUGGUCUGAGAGGAGGAUCAGUCACACUGGAACGGAUACACUGUCCAGACUCCUACGAUAGGCGGCAGUGGGUAAUAUUGGACAAUCGGCGAAAGCCUGAUCCCUCCAUGCCGCGUGUGUGAAGAAGGUCUUCUGAUUGUAAAGCACUUUAAGUUGGGUGGCGUUACCAACAGAAUAGGCACCGGCUAACUUCGUGCCAGCAGCCGCGGUAAUUC